UACGGGGGGAGCAAGCGUUGUUCGGAUUUACUGGGCGUAAAGGGCGCGUAGGCGGUCGUGACAAGUCACUUGUGAAAUCUCCGGGCUUAACUCGGAACGGUCAAGUGAUACUGUCGGACUAGAGUACAGAAGGGGCAACUGGAAUUCUCGGUGUAGCGGUGAAAUGCGCAGAUAUUGGGAAGAACACCAGUGGCGAAGGCGGUUCUCUGGGACGGUACUGACGCUGAGACGCGAAAGCGUGGGGAGCGAACAGG
rnacentral:rRNA from 1 species